CAUAAGUAACGAUAAAGCGGGUGAAAAGCCCGCUCGCCGGAAGACCAAGGGUUCCUGUCCAACGUUAAUCGGGGCAGGGUGAGUCGACCCCUAAGGCGAGGCCGAAAGGCGUAGUCGAUGGGAAACAGGUUAAUAUUCCUGUACUUGGUGUUACUGCGAAGGGGGGACGGAGAAGGCUAUGUUGGCCGGGCGACGGUUGUCCCGGUUUAAGCGUGUAGGCUGGUUUUCCAGGCAAAUCCGGAAAAUCAAGGCUGAGGCGUGAUGACGAGGCACUACGGUGCUGAAGCAACAAAUGCCCUGCUUCCAGGAAAAGCCUCUAAGCAUCAGGUAACAUCAAAUCGUACCCCAAACCGACACAGGUGGUCAGGUAGAGAAUACCAAGGCGCUUGAGAGAACUCGGGUGAAGGAACUAGGCAAAAUGGUGCCGUAACUUCGGGAGAAGGCACGCUGAUAUGUAGGUGAAGUCCCUCGCGG
rnacentral:rRNA from 1 species